rnacentral:sRNA from 1 species
UUUUAGUCACGAUGGAAGUGACAUCCUUUUUUUUGUAAAGAAAAGCAAAAGAUAUAACCACUAGCGGCAGGACUU